rnacentral:rRNA from 1 species
AGGAAGGCCGGGAUGACGUCAAAUCAGCACGGCCCUUACGUCCAGGGCUACACACGUGCUACAAUGGCCGAUACAGAGGGCAGCUACCUGGUGACAGGAUGCAAAUCUCCAAAGUCGGUCUCAGUUCGGAUCGGAGUCUGCAACCCGACUCCGUGAAGUUGGAUUCGCUAGUAAUCGCGCAUCAGCCAUGGCGCGGUGAAUACGUUCCCGGGCCUU